rnacentral:rRNA from 1 species
CCUACGGGGCGCAGCAGUAGGGAAUAUUGCUCAAUGGGGGAAACCCUGAAGCAGCAACGCCGCGUGGAGGAUGAAGGUUUUCGGAUUGUAAACUCCUUUUGUUAGAGAAGAUAAUGACGGUAUCUAACGAAUAAGCACCGGCUAACUCCGUGCCAGCAGCCGCGGUAAUACGGAGGGUGCAAGCGUUACUCGGAAUCACUGGGCGUAAAGAGCGCGUAGGCGGGAUAGCAAGUCAGCGGUCAAAGCCCGGGGCUCAACCCCGGCCCGCCGUUGAAACUGGCAGUCUCGAGUUGGAGAGAAGUAUGCGGAAUGCGCGGUGUAGCGGUGAAAUGCAUAGAUAUCGCGCAGAACUCCGAUUGCGAAGGCAGCAUGCCGGCUCCACACUGACGCUGAGGCACGAAAGCGUGGGUAUCGAACAGGAUUAGAUACCCGUGUAGUC